ACCUGAUAAUCCAUAAUUAUGAGUUUGCCUAGCAAGUAUUGCACAUUUUCUCUUGAACAUUCUCAAAUUUGAUAAUCUUGUUACUUCUAAAUUAUUCAGAGUUGGCAUAUGCUGAAAGAAACACUUUGAGAAGAAGACAAAUUACACUCUCGUUACUAACCAUGACAUUUCGUUGGUAAGCCUUAUGGAAUCUUGUUCUAAGCACUAAGUUUACAAGAAUAUUUCGAGGUCCUCUGAGUUGCUUAUUUACUUAGUUAACAUAAGUUCUUUUUCUCCUGAUUACUUUUCUGAAGGAAGAGAUUUUGUUCUCGGUGAUUGGGCAUAGUGAUUUUGAUGCAUCGCCUGAUCUCAUUCUCACACAGGAUAUCAAUGGGGUGAAUGCCGGUAGGAGAAACUUGCACAUUGUUCAUUUUUUACUUUAUGUUUGUCCAAAUCAUUUGCCAAGCAAAGCAAUGGCAAUUUCUGUGAUAUAUCACGCUCAUUAACACUGAAUAUUUGUUCACCUGCUACUGUAUCUUGAGAAUACGCAUAUGAUAGCUUAGUAUGACUCAUUUGGUGGUUGAUGAAAAUCAUAUACUAGUCAGAUUGUAGGAGGUUUGUGAUUAGUUGUGCCAUUCACUUUUAGAAAUAGAACUGAGAGAUGAAACCCAUCUUUCGCGAAUUAAAACUGAAUGUGCAAGUUUUUAUUAUAGCAACAACAAGGUUUAAGUUCUGAUUUUGUAGAUAAAAAAUAAUUGCCGACUGAAAAAAUUUCCUCCCAGAUACAAGUGUAUCUGGUGGUUGAUUAAACUCAUCAUUAUAAUCCUGUAAUUUUAGAGUAGUGUAAUUUUGAAAAAAAUACAAUGCCAAAGUCGGUCGAAGCGAUGUCAUAUGAAAUCUGGCUUCCAUGGUUUAUACUAAAGGCAUCAUUUUUCAGGUGGUAUAUACAAUUAUACACAACUCAAUUUAUUCUAGAGAAUCAUAUUUCAAAGCUGCCUGAGCUCACCACUAUCCUUGCUUCUACAAGCUAACCAACUUAAUUUUAUCUGUCUUUUGUGUUGUAUUCUUGUCAUUUAUUUAGAUAGAUGUUUCUGUCCUUAAUUAUGUGGAAGGUCGUGAUGAAUGCACCUACAUCUGGUUCCACUUUCUUAGACAAAUUUGUGCAAAAUGUUUUCAGGUACUCAACCUAUUGAUGCACAUGGACAUGAUGACUCUCUAGCGUUUAUGGACCAACCAACCUGUAAUCAUGGACCUUAUUGUCUUGUAGACCAUUUGGUGUUUCGAGUGUUUUGGAGCUUGCACUUUGUGCAUGUAGAUACAAACUUGUGUGUUCUGGACCAUUUGAAGUCUCUCAUAGUAACCAAUAGUCCUUAUCUUUUUGUGACUUGUGUGUUCUAGAUGAUUGUUAAGAUGGUCAACUAUGCUUCCUCUAGGUUAAUUUGUUUGUCAACUUGCGUUCAACGUAUGUGCAUGUUUAUAAACAUAUUUUCAUUCUGGUGUAAUAUGUGUUUAUCUUGAACCUUCUUGUGGGUGUGAGGAUAAUAAUUGAAUAUUUUUAGAGCUGGUAGUAUAA
rnacentral:lncRNA from 1 species